GUGACAGCUACUGAAUCAAUGAUGUGUCAUCGUUGAUAAGGUAAGGGAAAAUAAUGAUAUUACCUUACUAUUAGUGUCGUCCAAGUACUCGUGCCAGAAGACUCGGUAAGGCGAGAGACGCAAACGUUAGUCGUCUUAAUCAGGCGUAAAGGGUUUGUAGGCGGCUUUAAGUAUUUUAAUCUUUAAAAUAACAUACUUUAACUUAUUUCAGUAAAAAUAAAGAGAAAAUCAAUUAAAGCUAGAAUCAAGUAGAGGUCAAAUUAAAUAAUACUUGGUGUAAGAUUGGUAUCUUUAAAAACCAAGCGGAAUACUAACGGCGAAGGCUUUUUUCCAAUAAUGAUUGACGCUGAGAAACUAAGGUGAGGACAGAAAAAAGGAUUAGAGACCCUAGUAUCCCUCACUGUCAACGAUGAAUGGUAGUUACUAGAUAAAAAUCUAGAGGCGAUGUUAACACGAAAACCAUUCCGCCUUGUGAGUACGACUGCAAAGUUGAAAACAAAAAAUUAAAGUCGGGUUUCGGAGCAAACGAAGUGAAGCAUGUUAUUAUAAAAAAUCCCCCCC
rnacentral:rRNA from 1 species